GACGAACGCUGGCGGCGUGCUUAACACAUGCAAGUCGAACGGAAAGGCCCUGCUUUUGUGGGGUGCUCGAGUGGCGAACGGGUGAGUAACACGUGAGUAACCUGCCCUUGACUUUGGGAUAACUUCAGGAAACUGGGGCUAAUACCGGAUAGGAGCUCCUGCUGCAUGGUGGGGGUUGGAAAGUUUCGGCGUUGGGGGAUGGACUCGAGGCUUAUCAGCUUGUUGGUGGGGUAGUGGCUUACCAAGGCUUUGACGGGUAGCCGGCCUGAGAGGGUGACCGGCCACCUUGGGACUGCGAGACGGCGCAGACUCCAACGGGCGGCAGUAGUGGGGAAUAUUACACAAUGGGCGGAAGCCUGAUGCAGAAACGCCGCGUGCGGGAUGACGGCCUUCGAGUUGUAAACCGAUGUCGCCUGUAACGAACCGUGAGUGACGGUAAUGGGUAAAGAAGCACCGGCUAACUACGUG
rnacentral:rRNA from 1 species